rnacentral:rRNA from 1 species
UACGAAGGGGGCUAGCGUUGCUCGGAAUCACUGGGCGUAAAGCGCACGUAGGCGGAUUGUUAAGUCGGGGGUGAAAUCCUGGAGCUCAACUCCAGAACUGCCUUCGAUACUGGCGAUCUCGAGUCCGGGAGAGGCGAGUGGAACUCCGAGUGUAGAGGUGAAAUUCGUAGAUAUUCGGAAGAACACCAGUGGCGAAGGCGGCUCACUGGCCCGUUACCCGACGCUCACGGCGCCGACCAGCGUGGG